GUCAACAGAGAGACUCGCGCACAUUCAGUCCCCUUUUGCCCGUCAUGUAGUAAUCAUGUCAUGGAUGAUGGUCAUGUCUCCCUCUCUCCGUUACGAAUACUGAUUGGAUUGCUCAACAUGGUGUAUUUCACUUCAUCAAUAAAUAAUCAGAUAAACAUAGCCGGACAGAAAACAAACGUUCAGCAGGGAGAAUAGCAGAAUUUUUAAUUCUCAGCCCAAAAUUUUUAAAAUGCGUUGGGAAAUAGUAACUAUAUUAGCUUUUUGUACAUUUGGCGGAGAUAAAAAAUUUAAUUUAAAAAAAAAAUGAACCGUGGCAGGGAAACAUACUGGAUAUUGAACCAGUAAUUACAUAAAAGUCUGUUUCCGAUUAGCACAUCCAUCGCCUGAACAGAGUCGUUCUUAUCCUCGAAAUGGACAAGGGGGUGGCCCUGGAUUUUUUUAAACAUGUUGGAUGGUUUCGUGCGCCUCAAAGGGGUUGACCCUAUUGCCAUUUCGGUUCGCAAUGGCAAUAGCCAUAGAGGGCUAUUGCUAUUGUACUACUUACUAUUAUUACUAAAUUUUACACGUGUAAACUUUGUUUUAUAUAAAAAAAAGUGAAUCACGUUGAGGUUAAUAUUAAUGGAAUUCAACCUGUUGCUGUAUAUAUUACCCCUUUCCUUACGUAUAGCUUUUCCAAGAAUCACUUGAUUUGACCUUCAACGGUUAAGCUCGACAAGACCAAGGUGUCAACAUGCUUCACUAUAAUGUAAUACUGAAAAAUGUAUAUUAAGCAGUUUUCUUUUCACAUAUGAUACCGUGUUACCUUUUUUACCAAUCCUUUUUUUAAUGCUAACUCGUUUUCUCAAAUGUUAUACUUAUGCGAAUAGUAUAUCCCUAGUCUGACUCUGACCUAGCUUUAACCUAACUUUUACAACGACCUUGGACCAAUGAGGUACACAGACUUCGGUACACCAUUGGAUGAUGGAAUAUGUCAUUUAACUCAUUUUCAAUUCAUGCAUUGUAGCAUCGGAAAAAAAAACAUUUCUUAUAAUUCUUAAUUACGUUGUCAUGACAGAAAAUCAACGAAGAACGAACAAUUACAUUUACUUAAGCUUGUAAAAAACCUUAAUGGUGGAUAUUUAUUUCGCCAGUUUGUAACACAAAGUACAUGUAUAAUAUUUACUUCUUAUGACUUCUCCCGGCGACAGUUUUUCACAUUUUCGGUGACAAAGGAGUAGACAAGAGUUGCACUGUAUUCCACUAUCAUCCUUUUUGCUUUCCUUCUUGCAAUGACAGUGGAAAGUGUUGAUCUGUUUCUUCGUUUCAACUGAAAGUAAAAAGUAUUUUUAAUAAAUGGAAUUAUUCGUUUUCAGUUUAAAUUAUUACCCAUUUGUAGGACUGACGCCCAUGCAUCUUCAUCAAACAACUUCCGGAAUUUUUCCAACUUUAACUCAGGAUUUUGGACUGCACUGCUGACUUGCGCAGGCAUCUGAAAGACCAUCUCUUCAGUUACAAUGCGCUUCGAAAGAAGUAUUUCUCCGGCUUUUUCCCGUCCGAUAAACCAAGUCAGGAAUACUGCAAUCAAAGAAAAAUAAUUAUUGCGUGUUGGGGCAUUUUUAUGAUGAUCCAGCCGUCUGGUUCCUCUCGGUCAUCCAGCUCGAGUUUUGGUGUUGGGGAGCAUAAGCAUCAUCAAAUCGUCUUCUACUCUUGGUCUUUUUAGCUUCCGGUUCUCAUCAGAACUACUUUGCUGGUCAUCUGCAGCUUCUGAUGGAGGUUCUAUUGGGCCUUAAUGGUGGUCCAAGUAGAUUGAUGUCAUUCGGGCGUCUGUAUCUGCCGUAGCUCGAACAACUGGAUCUGCCGGAGCUUGAACGAAUGGAUCUGCCGGAGCUUGAACGACUGGAUCUGCCGGAGCUUGAACGACUGGAUCUGCCGUAGCUCAAACAACUGGAUCUGCCGGAGCUCAAACGACUGGAUCUGCCGGAGCUUGAACGACUGGAUCUCUUUGAGUUUGAACGGUUUGAUCUGCCAAAGUUUUGUAUUAGAUGCAUAGGCUCAUUCCGUCGGAUGCAUAACUUGACCUUUUCCAGUACUUGGAGGUAUCCCUCGAAGGCAGGCAAGGGUACAUUUUGAAGUUCAUUAGCCAAGCUUUUGGCUAAUUGAAGGGCUCUGCUGUACAUGUCUUCUCGAGUGACCCGAUCUCGAUUUCUUCGUUGUUGAAUUACCACCGGUGACCAAGCUUCCGGGUGUUCGUCUUGUGAAUCCUCGUCCUAAACAUAAACAGAAACGAAGUUAUUAAAGUAAAAUCUCCGCUCUAUCAGAUAGGAAUAAGAGGUGUCGACGCGGAAGUCCAAAAUUAUUGAAGAAAGUACAGGAGCAACUAGUAAAAUCCAAAUUAGCAGUGUUACGGCCAGUGUUGGUUGCUGUGAUUAAUUGGUUCCCAUCCUGGCAAGAUGUAGUUGUCGCCUUGAAUUGUUCAAUUACCCGAUCCAACGCAUAAGGCGUAUAUAUUUUACGUAACUGCUCCAAGAUAGGAUGUAACUUCUGAACCGGAAAUCGAAUUUUCAACUCAUUUCCUUUCUUUUUUCGUUCAAACUCUCUCAUUUGGCUAAUGUCAAGCAAUACUUGUAUCAACUCGGGAAAUCUUACUUGCCGAUUACGGACGUGAAUACCGUUCGAUUCUGUUCGUCGUGUGAUUGUCCUUCAUGAAUAGAGUUCUUCUAUAGAAAACGGCCCAAUAUUCUGUAAUAUUAAACCAAUUGGUUUCGAAAUAAUGCCCAAGUCCGUCGUACGUGCCGACGUCGUCAUCUUCAUCUAAAAAAUUCCUUUUUUAAAAUAAAGAUUUCCGAUCCAGCGUAGACGGCUUCUUUGAACUGUUGGUAUAUCUCUUCCCGGAGAUUCUGGCUUAACUUGGCUUGGACGAGACGUUUGUCAACAACGCGUGGAAAAGGCACAAUUUCAAAGACGCUGAGGUGAAAAUGCGUUCUACGGCGUUCAUCUCUUUGCAAUCCUUGUCGGAUUACCUUGGAGAAAAUCUCUAGACCAGCGAAAAUGCUAGCUGUCGUCUCCUCGCGGAGAAACAUGUAGCAAAUAGGUUGUCCAAUGCCAAAAUUAUCUUCUAUAACAAUGGUGUAGAGGGGCAUCCCGGCUUUGUCCACUUUAUAUGUCCCGUCGAUCUCCACCACUUCACCAAAUUUCUUAAAUAAUUUUCUUUGCUCUUGGGACUGGAUGAAAAUCUUUACUACUUCAUUGUCUUCGUCGUGAACUAUUUUAACUACAUUUCCUGGUCUUUCACGAAGGCGUCUAAUAGUUCUACAGUAUUCUUCCAUUCAUCUCGUGGCAGUCCUAAAUUGCAACAAGUUUUAAUUGAAUACCAAUUAUAAGUAAACGACGUAACGUCUUUACCGAUCACUUUCUGCUUAAUUUUCUGUAUAUUCUUAGGUUUGAGAACAACGUUAAACUCAUCAUACACACGCUUCCGUACUUUUAAGGGGAUUGCGUCGUCACGCAUUCCAUCAGUGAUGUAUUCUAAAGCAGCAGGAUCU
rnacentral:lncRNA from 1 species